AUUGAACGCUGGCGGCAUGCCUUACACAUGCAAGUCGAACGGUAACGGGUCCUUCGGGAUGCCGACGAGUGGCGAACGGGUGAGUAAUAUAUCGGAACGUGCCCAGUAGUGGGGGAUAACUGCUCGAAAGAGCAGCUAAUACCGCAUACGACCUGAGGGGGAAAGGGGGGGAUCGCAAGACCUCUCGCUAUUGGAGCGGCCGAUAUCAGAUUAGCUAGUUGGUGGGGUAAAGGCCUACCAAGGCAACGAUCUGUAGUUGGUCUGAGAGGACGACCAGCCACACUGGGACUGAGACACGGCCCAGACUCCUACGGGAGUCAGCAGUGGGGAAUUUUGGACAAUGGGCGCAAGCCUGAUCCAGCAAUGCCGCGUGCAGGAAGAAGGCCUUCGCGUUGUAAACUGCUUUUGUCAGGGAAGAAAUCUUCUGGGCUAAUACCCCGGGAGGAUGACGGUACCUGAAGAAUAAGCACCGGCUAACUAUGUGCCAGCCGCCGCGGUAA
rnacentral:rRNA from 1 species